rnacentral:rRNA from 1 species
UGAGUAACGCGUGGGUAACCUGCCUCAUACAGGGGGAUAACAGUUAGAAAUGACUGCUAAUACCGCAUAAGCGCACAGUGCUGCAUGGCACAGUGUGAAAAACUCCGGUGGUAUGAGAUGGACCCGCGUCUGAUUAGCUAGUUGGUGGGGUAACGGCCUACCAAGGCGACGAUCAGUAGCCGGCCUGAGAGGGUGAACGGCCACAUUGGGACUGAGACACGGCCCAAACUCCUACGGGAGGCAGCAUG